rnacentral:rRNA from 1 species
GAUGAACGCUGGCGGCGUGCCUAAUACAUGCAAGUCGAGCGAACAGACGAGGAGCUUGCUCCUCUAACGUUAGCGGCGGACGGGUGAGUAACACGUGGAUAACCUACCUAUAAGACUGGGAUAACUUCGGGAAACCGGAGCUAAUACCAGAUAAUAUAUUGAACCGCAUGGUUCAAUAGUGAAAGACGGUUUUGCUGUCACUUAUAGAUGGAUCCGCGCCGCAUUAGCUAGUUGGUAAGGUAACAGCUUACCAAGGCAACGAUGCGUAGCCGAUCUGAGAGGGUGAUCGGCCACACUGGAACUGAGACACGGUCCAGACUCCUACGGGAGGCAGCAGUAGGGAAUCUUCCGCAAUGGGCGAAAGCCUGACGGAGCAACGCCGCGUGAGUGAUGAAGGUCUUCGGAUCGUAAAACUCUGUUAUUAGGGAAGAACAAAUGUGUAAGUAACUAUGCACGUCUUGACGGUACCUAAUCAGAAAGCCACGGCUAACUACGUG